rnacentral:tRNA from 1 species
GGAAUAGUGAUGCUGUGGUUUGAGUGUUGGACUAAGACACCAGAAGACCAGGGUUCAAAUUCCUGCUUGUCCA